rnacentral:rRNA from 1 species
AUUGAACGCUGGCGGCAUGCUUUACACAUGCAAGUCGAACGGUAACAGGUUAAGCUGACGAGUGGCGAACGGGUGAGUAAUGCAUCGGAACGUGCCCUAUCGCGGGGGAUAACGCAGCGAAAGCUGCGCUAAUAUCGCAUACGAUCCGAGGAUGAAAGCGGGGGACCGUAAGGCCUCGCGCGGUCGGGGCGGCCGAUGUCAGAUUAGGUAGUUGGGGGGGUAAAGGCCCACCAAGCCGACGAUCUGUAGCUGGUCUGAGAGGACGACCAGCCACACUGGGACCGAGACACGGCCCAGACUCCUACGGGAGGCAGCAGUGGGGAAUUUUGGACAAUGGGCGAAAGCCUGAUCCAGCAAUGCCGCGUGCAGGAAGAAGGCCUUCGGGUUGUAAACUGCUUUUGUACGGAGCGAAAAGGUCCUUUCUAAUACAAGGGGCUCAUGACGGUACCGUAAGAAUAAGCACCGGCUAACUACGUGCCAGCCGCCGCAGUAA